AUUGAACGCUGGCGGCAGGCUUAACACAUGCAAGUCGAACGAGUGGCGGACGGGUGAGUAAUGCUUGGGAAUCUAGCUUAUGGAGGGGGAUAACUACGGGAACCUGUAGCUAAUACCGCGUACCAUAGGUUGAGCCCAAGUGGGAUUAGGUAGUUGGUGGGGUAAAGGCUCACCAAGCCGACGAUCACUAGCUGGUCCGAGAGGAUGACCGGCAACACUGGGACUGAGACACGGCCCAGACUCCUACGGGAGGCAGCAGUGGGGAAUAUUGGGCAAUGGGGGCAACCUGACGCAGCAAUGCCGGGUGAAUGAAGAAGGCCUUCGGGUGGUAAAGUUCUUUCGGUAGCGAGGCGUUAACUACAGAGGAAGCAACGGCUAACUCCGUGCCAGCCGCCGCGGUAAUUC
rnacentral:rRNA from 1 species